rnacentral:rRNA from 1 species
UACAGAGGCCUCGAGCGUUAGGCGGAAUCACUGGGCUUAAAGCGUGUGUAGGCGGAUUGGUAAGUCCCUUGUGAAAUCCCACAGCUUAACUGUGGAACUGCUCGGUAUACUGCUGAUCUUGAGCCACUCAGGGGCUACCGGAACAAAUGGUGGAGCGGUGAAAUGCGUAGAUAUCGGGAGGAACACCUGUGGCGAAAGCGACUCACUGGACCACAACUGACGCUGAGGCGCGAAAGCUAGGGGAGCAAACAGG